GUUAUCGUUUAUUUGAUAGUACCUCACUACAUGGAUAACUGUGGUAAUUCUAGAGCUAAUACAUGCUAAAAACCUCGACUUCGGAAGGGGUGUAUUUAUUAGAUNAAAAACCAAUGCCCUUCGGGGCUCCNNGGUGAAUCAUAAUAACUCGACGAAUCGCAUGGCCUUGCGCCGGCGAUGGUUCAUUCAAAUUUCUGCCCUAUCAACUUUCGAUGGUAGGAUAGUGGCCUACCAUGGUUUCAACGGGUAACGGGGAAUUAGGGUUCGACUCCGGAGAGGGAGCCUGAGAAACGGCUACCACAUCCAAGGAAGGCAGCAGGCGCGCAAAUUACCCAAUCCCGACACGGGGAGGUAGUGACAAUAAAUACUGAUACAGGGCUCUUUUGGGUCUUGUAAUUGGAAUGAGUACAAUUUAAAUCCCUUAACGAGGAACAAUUGGAGGGCAAGUCUGGUGCCAGCAGCCGCGGUAAUUCCAGCUCCAAUAGCGUAUAUUAAAGUUGUUGCAGUUAAAAAGCUCGUAGUUGAACCUUGGGCCUGGCUGGCCGGUCCGCCUCACCGCGUGUACUGGUCCGGCCGGGCCUUUCCUUCUGGGGAACCGCAUGCCCUUCACUGGGCGUGUCGGGGAACCAGGACUUUUACUUUGAAAAAAUUAGAGUGUUCAAAGCAGGCCUUUGCUCGAAUACAUUAGCAUGGAAUAAUAGAAUAGG
rnacentral:rRNA from 1 species